rnacentral:rRNA from 1 species
AAUAUUGGACAAUGGGGUCAACCCUGAUCCAGCCAUGCCGCGUGAGUGAUGAAGGCCUUCGGGUUGUAAAGCUCUGUGGGGAGAGACGAAAGAAUCGGUUCUAACAGGACCGACGUUGACGGUAUCUCAUUAGCAAGCACCGGCUAACUCUGUGCCAGCAGCCGCGGUAAGACAGAGGGUGCAAACGUUGCUCGGAAUCACUGGGCGUAAAGGGCGUGUAGGCGGAUAGAUAAGUCGGGCGUGAAAUCCCCAGGCUCAACCUGGGAACUGCACUCGAAACUGUUUGUCUUGAGUACCGGAGAGGAAAGCGGAAUACCUGGUGUAGAGGUGAAAUUCGUAGAUAUCAGGUGGAACACCAGUGGCGAAGGCGGCUUUCUGGACGGUAACUGACGCUGAGACGCGAAAGCGUGGGGAGCAAAC